rnacentral:tRNA from 1 species
GAAAAUUUAGUGAAAUUCACACUAUUAUUUCAUGAUAGAAAUGAUUUAGUCUUCU